CCCUCGUCCGGGAACUGGGGAAGGGGGUCCUGGCUGUGCUUCUCUGGGACAGUCGGCCUUCCAUCGGCCUCGGAGCCCCAUUUUUUGUGUGUUUGUUUCAUGCAGAUCCGCUCUCACUUAAUUCUCCUUCGUUCCCCGCCCCUCCCCUCCCCUCCCCCAGGAAUGAGGACGCAGCGGGAUUUCUACGUUCGCCUCUUUGACUCCAUGACAAAACAAGCCAUAGUAUGCUGAAGGCCAAGACAAGAACCCAGAAAUGUGCCGAGUCUUGCUCACACACGAAAUCAUGUGCAGUCUUAGGUUUACAACUACAGGUUGACCAGUCUGCCAGGAUUUUGCCCAUUGGCUAUCAGAUGGAACUGAAGAAGAAGCACUUCCUAUGUUUGAACCAUAGAACACUCAUACACGGACUAAGAACAAAACAAAAUCCUCACCACUAAUGGAAGCCUCAAACCAAAGGAACCAAAAAUCAAACAGAAACCAAAAACCAAACAGCACAAGACUCAAAUCAGCUUCCAAGUCUCAACUUAGCCUGUGACCUCUGUCCAAGUGGUGCACCUUCCAAAUGAGAUUUCCUGGAAUGAAAAGUCACCCAAAUGGGAACCAAGGUUCCCCCAAAUGUACAGGGCUAAAAGGACCUCACAGUGCAUGCCAGGGGAGUUACCACAUGCUGGCUGAGGUAUCGCAACACCCCAAAUGCUACUUUUCUGCUUCCCCAAAAUAAUCCCUUGGAGUAGGACAUUUGGGGCAGUCCAGACAGGAGGAAGAGAGGAACAUCCUCAAGGCAAAGAUGGCCUUGGCAGUUGCUAGGGUGGUCCCUCUUCCGCCAUCUACUCCUGCCCCAGAGUUCCAACUGCUGGGAUGGCAGAUGGGGUAUGACUGAGGCUUGGCCUUUCCAGGCAAGGGUCCCAGGCAGUCUGGCCUCUAAAGGAAUUCUCCAACCCUACACUCUCUCAAAACAGGCUGGCAUGGAGAAAAUCAUAGAGUGUCCAAUCAAGUCAGGGGACCCACAGGGGCCAUCCCCAAGUCAGCCCCAUAUUGGGUACUAAAUUUGAUGCCAAAAACUCGACCUCUGUGCACCAGUGCCGAAUCGAAUCUCAGAGACAGAGGUUUGGAAGAAGUAGAAAAGAAUAGCUUUACUGCUUUGACAGCCAAAGGGGGACACAGAAAACUUGUGCCCUCAAAAACUGUGUGUCCCAAUGCAGGAGGAUCUGGUGAGGAGUUUUACGGCAAUGGUUUAAGGACACAGUUGCUCCUAAGGAUUAGUGUGUGUACAGGGCCUUAACUCUCUUUAAUCUGGCCUCAGAUGGUCUCUUGAUGAGCUUCUCUGGAAUGAAGAAUGCUAAAAUCUUCUAUUUUGUGGGGGUUUUGGUUUGGUAAAGAACCCAAAGAUACUCUUACGUACAUCCCUUUAAGGCCCUGAGGCUGUCCUUAACAAAGGCCCUCAACUUAUCUUUAACUGAGGCCCUGACGCUCUCCCUAACUAAAGACUGAGGCUGUCUCUAACUAAGGCCCUGAGUCUGUCUUUAACUAAUGGCCUCACUCUUUCCCUAACUAAGGCCCUGACACAGUCCCUAACUAAGGCCCCUAAUAACAUGAGCUGUCCCUCAUUAAUGCCCUGAUGCGGCCCAUAACUGAUGUACUGAAGAUGGCACUAAGGUCCUGACCAUGUCACUAAUGACCCAAAAUGUCUCUUACUAAGGCCCUCAAGUGACCUCUAACUGAGGCCCUAAAGAUGUCCAUAACUAAGUCCCUGACACUAUCUCUAACUAAGACCCUCAAGUUAUCUUUAACUGAAGCCAUGACAAUGUCCCUAACAAAGGACUUGAUGCUGUCUCUAAGGCCCUGAGUCUGUCUUUACCUAAUGGCCUCACUCUUUCCCUAACUACGCCCUGACGCUGCCCCUAACCAAGGCCCUGAUGGUGUGCCUAAUUGCCUGAGCUGUCUUUCACUAAUACCCUGACCCUGUCCAUAACUAAUGCCCUGAUUAUGUCCCUAACGAACAGCCUGAAGUGUCUCUUACUAAGGUCCUCAAGUUUUCUCUGAGGCCCUGACACUCUCCCUAAUUAAGGCCUUGACACUGUCUUUAAGUAAUGGCCUAAUGCAGUUCCUACCUGAGAUGCUGAUGCUCUCACUAACUAAGGCCUUGAAGUCUGUACCUGAGAAGCUGACACUGUCUGUAACUAACUUCCUGACUCUUUCCUUAACUAACAUCCUAAUUUUGUCCCUAAAUAACACCUUGACACUGGUCCUAACUACGGCCCUGAUGCUGACCCUAUCUAAGGCUCUGACAAUGUCCCUAAUAGACUUGGAUGUCCCUCACUGUGGUCCUGAUCCUGUCCAAUACUAAGGCCCUGAAUAUGUGCCUAAGUAAGUCUCUGACCCUGUCCUAAGGCCCUGACGCUCUUCCUAACUAAGGGCCUUGAUGCUGUCUCUACAGAAGACCCUGACACUGCCCCUAAAUAACGGCCUGACACUGGUCCCAAGUAUGGACCUGAUCCUGUAAGGCCCUGAAGAUGUCCCUCAUUAAGUCUCUGACACUGCCCUUAAUAAGCCCACGACACUGUCCCUAGCUAACGGCCUAAGCUAUAACUUACAAAGUCCCUAACACUAUCCCCAAGACCCUGACACCCUCCCUAACUUAGACUUUGAUGCUGUCCCUUAGUACCUAAGCGGUCACAAAAUAACACCCUGAUUCUAUUACUAAGGCCCUGAAUAUAUCCCUAAGAAAGUCUCUGAAGUGUUCCUAACUAACGGCCUGAAAUGUCUCUUACUAAGGCCCCUAAGUUAUCUCUGAGGUCCUGACAACACUGUCCCUAACUAAGGCCCUGUUGCUGGCCCUAACUAACGUCCUGAUGCUGAACCUAAGGAGGCCCUGAUGCUCUUCCUAACUAAGGCCUUGAUGCCGAUUCUACCUGAGGCCCUAAAACUGUCUGUAACUAAUGACCUGACUCUUUCCCUAACUAACACCCUAAUUUUGUCCCUCAUUAAUGCCCUGACACUGGUCAACACUACAGCCCCGAUGCUGGCCCAAUCUAAGGUCUUGACAAUGUCCCUAAUAGCCUUACAUGUCCCUCACUGUUGGCCUGACCCUGUCCCUAACCAAGGCCCUGACCCUCUUCCUAACUAAGGCUGUGAUGAUGUCUCUACCUGAGGCAUUGACACUGUCUAUAAUAAUGGCCGACUCUUUCCCCAACACCCCGAUGCUGUCCCUAAUAGCCUCAUGUAUCUCUCAAUAAUGCCCUAAUCCUGUCCAUAACUAAGGCCAUGAAUAUGUCCUUAAGUCUCUGACGCUGUCCUUAACUAAGUCCCUGAUGCUCUCUCUACCUAAGGCACUGACACUAUCUAUAAUAAUGGCCUGACUCCUUCCCUAACUAACACCCUGAUGCUAUCCCUAAUUGAGGCCCUGAAGAUGUCCCUAAUACCCUUAGGUGUUCCUCAGUAUCACCCUGAUUCUGUCCAUAAUUAAGGCCCUGAAUAGGUCCCUAGGUAAGUCUCUGACGCUAUCCCUAAUUAAGGCCCUGAUGCUGCCUCUACCUCAGAAUCUGACAUUCUAAUGUCCUGACUCUCCCUAACUAACAUCCUGAUGCUGCCCCUAAGUGAGGCCCUGACACUCUUCUUAACUAAGGACUUGCUGCUGUCCCUACCUAAAACCCUGACACUAUCUGUAACUAAUGACCUGACUCCUUCCCUAACUAACACCCUAGUUUUGGCCCUAACUAACGCCCUGACACUGAUUUUAAUUAUGACCAUGAUGCUGGCUCUAAGGCCCUGAAUAUAUCCCUAAGUAACAGCCUGAAUUUUGUCUAACUAAGGCUCUCACGUUAUCUCUAACUUAGGCCCUGACGCUGUCCCUUAUAGUCUAAGCUGUCACUAAAUAAUGCCCUGAUCCUAUCCACAACUAAAGCCCUGAAUAUGUCCCUAAGUACAUCUCUGAUGAUGUCCCUAACAGCCUGAACUGUCUCUUCAACUUAUCUCUGAGGCUCUGACCACUGGCCCUUCCUAAGGCCUCACCCCGGGGUUGUCCCAGGCUGCUGGGCAGUCUUCUCUUGUCCGCAUCUCUAGCCGGCUGCCUGCCAUUGGCCACUCUAAGAUCCUGCGAUGCAGUGGUCCCACGUGGGAUGUGCCUGUGUAGGCUCACCUGCGGGAGGAGAGUCAUGGCCACUCCGCCCUGCAGGAGACUGCAGCUCAGGGUAGGAAUCUCUCAGCCAGUGUCUGGACACAGGGUUCUGUGUCCUUGUUUGUUGUAAAUCCCUUGCAGUUACCUCUAACAUUUUUUAAAUGGAUCUCCCCCUCAGCAUAUUUAUGAUUUAAAUUAUUUACCACAUUAAAAUUCAGGAAUGACAUUGUUAGAAUGAGCAGGAAGACACCGGACGCCCCCCCCCCACCAUGAUCUAUUACUUGGAGGAUUUAACAUUCUAAUGAGAAAACACUCACUCUCCUCAUCCUCUUGGGCGUCAGCACAAGGCGGGAAUCAGCUGCAUUCUUUAUUUAUCCCUCUGAUUUUCCAGAACAUUUCCUUCAAGGAGAAAUCUCUGGGCUCUGCGGUAACUGUGAGUGGUGACCAUCAGGUAAAUCUGAGACUGAAAAGCAAAAGGAAAAGAGAUAGAGGAGGAGAUGAGAACUGGUGAUGGGGAGAAGCAGGGGCAUCCACGUUCAAUCUCAGGCUGAGAGUCUGGGUUAAUCUCCAACGAACCUAAGGACCACCAGGAGCUGGCCCCACUGGCCUUGUCACCUGGUGUGGGGAUUGGGGACAGCCAAACCACCAUGGCCACUCUCAGAGAAAUAAAGAAGGUGGGAGGGCACCCCUGGGAGCCAGAUUGAAAAUGGUCAUGCUGUGAAAUAAUAAGAUGCCCUUUUCAGAAAAGUGAAGACUCUUCUCUUGGUUCUCAAAGACUUGCAAAUACUCUGUGUGCUUCUGGAGGCAUGCUGAAGCCUUCAGCCUUUGAGGGCACUAAUGGGAGGGAAUGUGGGCUCAAAACUAUCCAGCACUCACUCCUUGAGGGUGCGGACGAUGACCAGUGUCCACCCCUUGGAUGCUGUGGGGCCUGAAAUCCCCUUAUCACCUAGGACGGGAGGGGCCGCACAGACACCCCACUGGACCACCGGGGGCUUGGCUGGUGGGCUACAGUCCUUUAUCAGAUACAUGGUUUGCAAACAUCUUGUGCCAUUUUAGAUGGUGGAUUAUCUUAUUCCUUGCUCCUUUUAUACACAACUGU